GGGUUGUGAGGUUAAGCGACUAAGCGUACACGGUGGAUGCCCUGGCAGUCAGAGGCGAUGAAGGGCGUACUAAUCUGCGAUAAGCGCCGGUAAGGUGAUAUGAACCGUUAUAACCGGCGAUACCCGAAUGGGGAAACCCAGUGUGAUUCGUCACACUAUCAUUAACUGAAUCCAUAGGUUAAUGAGGCGAACCGGGGGAACUGAAACAUCUAAGUACCCCGAGGAAAAGAAAUCAACCGAGAUUCCCCCAGUAGCGGCGAGCGAACGGGGAGGAGCCCAGAGCCUGAAUCAGCAUGUGUGUUAGUGGAAGCGUCUGGAAAGGCGCGCGAUACAGGGUGACAGCCCCGUACACAAAAGCGCAUGUGCUGUGAGCUCGAUGAGUAGGGCGGGACACGUGGUAUCCUGUCUGAAUAUGGGGGGACCAUCCUCCAAGGCUAAAUACUCCUGACUGACCGAUAGUGAACCAGUACCGUGAGGGAAAGGCGAAAAGAACCCCGGCGAGGGGAGUGAAAAAGAACCUGAAACCGUGUACGUACAAGCAGUGGGAGCACCCUUUGGGUGUG
rnacentral:rRNA from 2 species